CGGUUCCCCGGGGACUCGUUUAACGGAACACGAGUUGAAAUCCUGGAUAUUCACAUCCUGAAACUUUCCAGGACGACACCCAGCGGAUCACGACUCUUGCAAAAGCUCUCUGUCCAGCAGCGACGUCAGCUUCAUCGCCAACGGCAACGCCCAGAGGGAGGCGCUGUUGGGGUUCUCUGACGGAGACACGGAUCU